ACAGACAGCCAGGAUGUUGGCUUAGAAGCAGCCAUCAUUUAAAGAAAGCGUAAUAGCUCACUGGUCGAGUCGGCCUGCGCGGAAGAUGUAACGGGGCUAAACCAUGCACCGAAGCUGCGGCAGCGACACUAUGUGUUGUUGGGUAGGGGAGCGUUCUGUAAGCCGUCGAAGGUGGCCUGUGAGGGCUGCUGGAGGUAUCAGAAGUGCGAAUGCUGACAUAAGUAACGAUAAAGCGGGUGAAAAACCCGCUCGCCGGAAGAC
rnacentral:rRNA from 1 species